rnacentral:lncRNA from 1 species
GGGACUUAGCACAAAAACCAUCAUGGAUUCCAUCAAAGAGAUCAUUAAUGUCUCAAAACGUCUCCAAGGAUACAUGAUCUACAAAGGACCACAGAGUGCCCUGCAGAAUUGGGUUGAAAAACUAAAGAAGGCAAACAGAGUUUAUGGUAAGGUUCUGUGUUACUAGACUGCCCUUGAACCCAUAGCCAUGGAAUUUGUUCAAAUCCUACACACACUGUUUAAGGCAUUGUUUAAUUGGCAUCUUCUGUGUGAGGAAUCAUCAGUGCCAUGUACCACUUUAUGAUAACCUGGGACUCUGGCCCCAGACUCCAGUGUCCAGGCUAGCAGGGCUGGACCAUGUGAAGGACUUGUUUUGCAAGGACAGGAGGUAGCCAAGACCUGGAACCCAAAGAGGUUUCAUGAUGUUCUUGAACAUCUUCCUGGCAAGUCCAUAUUACAAAAUGGCAGAGCACAGGCUCAGAUUCAGACUGUGGAGCUAGCUCAUGCAUUGUCUAUGCAAGUGCUGACUUUCUCUGCCAUGGCGGAGCUUCCUAUGGCCAGGCCAGAUAAAGGUAUCAGCAUUUUAGCCUCAGCUGGUAGAGCCUCUUUUUCCUGGCUUUUGGUUUGCCAAGUCACUGUCCAAGUAUCUGAGUAGCAACAACACAUGGAGACCUAAGCAG